AUACCUCUUCAGCAGCACAUUGACUGAAAUUGAAAAAAUAUAGAGAAGAAUAUCAUAGCACCUGGGCAAGGAUAACACACAAAUUCAUAAGCAUCCUAUACCAAAU